rnacentral:lncRNA from 1 species
GCAUAUUUGUGGCAAAAAUGUGAAAAUUUGCACUCUCAAUUUUCCAGUAUGGAUGCCUGCGAAUCUCUUUUAGCAUGGUUGCUUAGCCCCAAUAGAGAACACUUCACAACUGAGGCUAUUGAUUUAAUUUUAUGAACUAAUUAGAGACAACUUUGAGUAAAAAAAUAAUUCACUUAUCUUGUAUUAGGUUUAUUUAGCUAUGUAUCAUAUUGCUUUCAAUCUGU